AAUGCAGCUAAAUAAGCUUGCCUGAGCUCAGGAGUGAUGUCGGUCGGUGGUACCAGUCUGCAAGAGCCGAAAGGCUUUGCUCUCUGGUCAGCUGCUGACUCCUCUGCACUCUCGGGCUUGCUUGCCAACAACAGUUGCUCGUGGCUGUGAAGGGCGAUUGGGUAGGUGCUCACCCCUCGGGGUGAUACUUAUAGCCAUUCGUCUGGAGUCUGCGGGUGACUGAGGAUAACUCUGGCAGCACAGGCCUUCGGGCUUUGGGCGACUCCUGGCCGUUCGAACAUCGCAACAGAUACUGCGUGCAGUGUCUGCUGACGGUUGUUUGCUCGGACGGGAGAUCCGUCACAAUUUGUGCUCCAGUUGUUGGUUAUCAAA
rnacentral:rRNA from 1 species